rnacentral:rRNA from 1 species
UACGAAGGGUGCUAGCGUUGUUCGGAAUUACUGGGCGUAAAGCGCGCGUAGGCGGCUUAUCAAGUCAGGGGUGAAAUCCUGGGGCUUAACCCCCAGAAUUGCCUUUGAAACUGGUAAGCUUGAGUGUCGGAGGGGAUAGCGGAAUUGCUAAUGUAGAGGUGAAAUUCGUAGAUAUUCGCAAGAACACCAGUGGCGAAGGCGGCUCACUGGCUCGAUACUGACGCUGAGGUGCGAAAGCGUGGGGAGCAAACAGG